UCGCGUUAUGAGAUGASCCUGCGUUAGAUUAGCUAGUURGUGGGGUAAAGGCCUACCAAGGCGACGAUCUAUAGCUGGUCUGAGAGGACGAUCAGCCACACUGGGACUGAGACACGGCCCARAYUCYUACGGGAGGCAGCAGUGGGGAAUAUUGGACAAUGGGCGAAAGCCUGAUCCAGCAAUACCGCGUGUGUGAAGAAGGCCUUCGGGUUGUAAAGCACUUUCAAUUGGGAGGAAAACCUACCGSUCAAUACCCGGUAGCUWGACAUUACCUUUAGAAGAAGCACCGGCUAACUCC
rnacentral:rRNA from 1 species